rnacentral:rRNA from 1 species
UAGGGAAUCUUCCGCAAUGGGCGAAAGCCUGACGGAGCAACGCCGCGUGAGUGAUGAAGGUCUUCGGAUCGUAAAACUCUGUUAUUAGGGAAGAACAAAUGUGUAAGUAACUAUGCACGUCUUGACGGUACCUAAUCAGAAAGCCACGGCUAACUACGUGCCAGCAGCCGCGGUAAUACGUAGGUGGCAAGCGUUAUCCGGAAUUAUUGGGCGUAAAGCGCGCGUAGGCGGUUUUUUAAGUCUGAUGUGAAAGACCACGGCUCAACCGUGGAGGGUCAUUGGAAACUGGAAAACUUGAGUGCAGAAGAGGAAAGUGGAAUUCCAUGUGUAGCGGUGAAAUGCGCAGAGAUAUGGAGGAACACCAGUGGCGAAGGAGACUUUCUGGUCGGUAACUGACGCUGAUGUGCGAAAGCGGGGGGAUCAAACAGG